rnacentral:tRNA from 3 species
GCGUCGGUGGUUCAGUGGUAGAAUACUCGCCUGCCACGCGGGUGGCCCGGGUUCGAUUCCCGGCCGGCGCA